CAAAUUUCUUUUUAAUAUUAAUUUGUAAGGAAUUAAUGUUCUUUUUUGUUUUCUUUACACCAAGAAGUUUAUUCAACUUGAAGUUUAUCAUAUAUACAGCUCAAGAAAAGGGAAGAUCAAAAAGAGAAAAAGAACCGUCUUUCUUGUUCAAGGCAAGGCGGCGUUUACUGCCCUUUUAUAAUACUGCCUUGAAAGGUAGCUAUUGUGGUUAGCACAUCUAUAUUUUUCUUGAUUUUUCUUUUAUUUUACUUGUCUUUCUUAAGGUGGCGAAUCCAGGAGAUAAAGUUAGUGAGAAGAGAGAGGGUGGUGGUGAAGAAUGGGUUUUUCAUGAUAGUCCAACAUCGAUGAGAAUGAGAACAGAGAACCAGCUGCAGAUGGUGCCUGUGAUGUCUAUGCUUUCUGGGUUGGGUAGCGAAAGAGAAAUGUCGGCUAUGGUUUCUGCUUUAACUCAUGUGGUUACUGGAGAGGUGCCUGAUUCUGCUGAUUAUUUUCUAACAUUAUCAAAUGAAAGUAAUUGUUCAAGUUCUUCAAGUGCUGGAGCU
rnacentral:misc_RNA from 1 species